AAAGGAAUUGACGGGGACCCGCACAAGCAGCGGAGCAUGUGGUUUAAUUCGAAGCAACGCGAAGAACCUUACCAAGGCUUGACAUCCCCUUGACAGAUGCAGAGAUGUAUCCUCCCCUUCGGGGGCAAGGGAGACAGGUGGUGCAUGGUUGUCGUCAGCUCGUGUCGUGAGAUGUUGGGUUAAGUCCCGCAACGAGCGCAACCCUUAUCCUUAGUUGCCAGCACAUAUGGUGGGCACUCUAAGGAGACUGCCGGUGAUAAACCGGAGGAAGGUGGGGAUGACGUCAAAUCAUCAUGCCCCUGAUGUCUUGGGCUACACACGUGCUACAAUGGUCGGUACAACGGGCAGCUAUGGAGCGAUCCGGAGCAAAUCCCAAUAAACCGAUCCCAGUUCGGAUUGCAGGCUGCAACUCGCCUGCAUGAAGUCGGAGUUGCUAGUAAUCGCGAAUCAGAACGUCGCGGUGAAUGCGUUCCCGGGUCUUGCACACACCGCCCGU
rnacentral:rRNA from 1 species